rnacentral:rRNA from 1 species
UACGGAGGAUGCGAGCGUUAUCCGGAUUUAUUGGGUUUAAAGGGUGCGUAGGCGGACUGUCAAGUCAGCGGUAAAAUUGAGAGGCUCAACCUCUUCCCGCCGUUGAAACUGGUGGUCUUGAGUGGAUGAGAAGUACGCGGAAUGCGUGGUGUAGCGGUGAAAUGCAUAGAUAUCACGCAGAACUCCGAUUGUGAAGGCAGCGUACCGGCAUCCAACUGACGCUGAGGCACGAAAGCGUGGGGAUCAAACAGG